AACGAACGCUGGCGGCAGGCUUAACACAUGCAAGUCGAACGCCCCGCAAGGGGAGUGGCGCACGGGUGAGUAACGCGUGGAUAUCUGCCUUUUGGUUCGGAAUAACCCCGGGAAACUGGGGCUAAUACCGGAUGGUUCCUACGGGAUAAAGAUUUAUCGCCAAAAGAUGAGUCCGCGUACGAUUAGCUAGUUGGUGAGGUAAUGGCUCACCAAGGCGACGAUCGUUAGCUGGUCUGAGAGGACGAUCAGCCACACUGGGACUGAGACACGGCCCAGACUCCUACGGGAGGCAGCAGUGGGGAAUAUUGGACAAGGGGGGCAACCCUGAUCCAGCCAUGCCGCGUGAGUGAUGAAGGCCUUCGGGUUGUAAAGCUCUUUUGGCGGGGACGAUGAUGACGGUACCCGCAGAAUAAGCCCCGGCUAACUUCGUG
rnacentral:rRNA from 1 species